rnacentral:rRNA from 1 species
CAGCCGCCACGGUAAUACGUAGGGUGCAAGCGUUAAUCGGAAUUACUGGGCGUAAAGCGUGCGCAGGCGGUUGUGUAAGACAGGUGUGAAAUCCCCGGGCUUAACCUGGGAACUGCGCUUGUGACUGCACAGCUAGAGUAUGGCAGAGGGGGGUGGAAUUCCACGUGUAGCGGUGAAAUGCGUAGAGAUGUGGAGGAGCACCGAUGGCGAAGGCAGCCCCCUGGGCCAACACUGACACUGAGGCACGAAAGCGUGGGGAGCAAACAGGAUUAGAUACCCCUGUAGUCCCUGUCUCUUAUAU